GGUUAGAGCGUAGAGGCGGCAGGGUAGCCUAGUGGUUAGAGCGUAGAGGCGGCAGGGUAGCCUAGUGGUUAGAGCGUAGGGGCGGCAGGGUAGCCUAGUGGUUAGAGCGUAGAGGCGGCAGGGUAGCCUAGUGGUUAGAGCGUAGAGGCGGCAGGGUAGCCUAGUGGUUAGAGCGUAGGGGCGGCAGGGUAGCCUAGUGGUUAGAGCGUAGGGGCGGCAGGGUAGCCUAGUGGUUAGAGCGUAGAGGCGGCAGGGUAGCCUAGUGGUUAGAGCGUAGAGGCGGCAGGGUAGCCUAGUGGUUAGAGCGUAGAGGCGGCAGGG
ensembl:lncRNA